AUUGAACGCUGGCGGCAUGCCUUACACAUGCAAGUCGAACGGCAGCGCGGGGCAACCUGGCGGCGAGUGGCGAACGGGUGAGUAAUAUAUCGGAACAUACCCUAGAGUGGGGGAUAACGUAGCGAAAGUUACGCUAAUACCGCAUACGCACUAAGGUGGAAAGUGGGGGAUUCGCAAGAACCUCAUGCUCAUGGAGUGGCCGAUAUCUGAUUAGCUAGUUGGUGAGGUAAAGGCUCACCAAGGCAACGAUCAGUAGCUGGUUUGAGAGAACGACCAGCCACACUGGAACUGAGACACGGUCCAGACUCCUACGGGAGGCAGCAGUGGGGAAUUUUGGACAAUGGGCGAAAGCCUGAUCCAGCCAUGCCGCGUGCAGGAUGAAGGCCUUCGGGUUGUAAACUGCUUUGUACGGAACGAAAAGUACUCUUUCUAUAAAGAGGGAUCAUGACGGUACCGUAAGAAUAAG
rnacentral:rRNA from 1 species